GUCAGGGUAGCUCAGUUGGUUAGAGCGUGGGACUCAUAAGCCCAAGGUCGGAGGUUCAAAUCCUCUCCCUGACACCA
rnacentral:tRNA from 1 species